rnacentral:miRNA from 1 species
AAACCCAAAUGAACUUCUUUGG